GGGGCCGACCUGGUUUCGACGUGGGUUGCGAAGCAGUAGCGGGCAUACCGAGGACCCGUCACCUCGUUAAUCAAUGGGAACGCAAUAACUGCUAACGACAACCGUUACCAGCUGGCCGCUUAAUUGCGCGCCGUCCUCGCACUAGCUUGCCGAUAGGCUAGGGCCGCAAGGCCACGCGAGGUCAUUCAUAUCGGAUCGCUUCGGCCGGUGUCACGACGGCCGGGGUUAACUCCAAGUGACUCGUCGUCGCGCAGCGUGUUCGUCCGCGUCGCGCCGGUUAAAUCAAAUGACUGAACUAAGUAUGUAGAACGCUCUGUAGAGGACUUGCGGACGCGGGUUCGAUUCCCGCCGGCUCCA
rnacentral:tmRNA from 19 species